rnacentral:rRNA from 1 species
AACGAACGCUGGCGGCAUGCUUAACACAUGCAAGUCGAACGAGACCUUCGGGUCUAGUGGCGCACGGGUGCGUAACGCGUGGGAAUCUGCCCUUAGGUACGGGAUAACUCAGAGAAAUUUGUGCUAAUACCGUAUGAUGUCGAAAGACCAAAGAUUUAUCGCCUAAGGAUGAGCCCGCGUAAGAUUAGCUUGUUGUGAGGUAAAAGCUCACCAAGGCGACGAUCUUUAGCUGGUCUGAGAGGAUGAUCAGCCACACUGAGACUGAGACACGGCCCAGACUCCUACGGGAGGCAGCAGUGGGGAAUAUUGGACAAUGGGCGAAAGCCUGAUCCAGCAAUGCCGCGUGAGUGAUGAAGGCCUUAGGGUUGUAAAGCUCUUUUACCAGGGAUGAUAAUGACAGUACCUGGAGAAUAAGCUCCGGCUAACUCCGUGCCAGCAGCCGCCGUAA